CCUACGGGUGCAGCAGUGGGGAAUAUUGGACAAUGGGCGAAAGCCUGAUCCAGCCAUGCCGCGUGUGUGAAGAAGGCCUUCGGGUUGUAAAGCACUUUCAGUGGGGAAGAAAGCCUUGGGGCUAAUACCCUCGAGGAAGGACAUCACCCACAGAAGAAGCACCGGCUAACUCCGUGCCAGCAGCCGCGGUAAUACGGAGGGUGCGAGCGUUAAUCGGAAUUACUGGGCGUAAAGCGCGCGUAGGCGGUCUGAUAAGCCGGUUGUGAAAGCCCCGGGCUCAACCUGGGAACGGCAUCCGUGAACUGUCAGGCUAGAGUGCAGGAGAGGAAGGUAGAAUUCCCGGUGUAGCGGUGAAAUGCGUAGAGAUCGGGAGGAAUACCAGUGGCGAAGGCGGCCUUCUGGACUGACACUGACGCUGAGGUGCGAAAGCGUGGGUAGCAAACAGGAUUAGAUACCCUGGUAGUC
rnacentral:rRNA from 1 species